AUUGAUUUUCAUUCAGCCUACAAUUAAAUACCGCCAGCACACCGAACUUUAUAUAAAAACUGGAACAUUAGACUAAACCGAUAGCUUAUUUUGAUUUGGGAGAGGAUAGAAAGCGCCAAAAAAGUGCUGUACAGAUCAGUGGCUUUAGCAUAUUGAAGAUUUCAGGCCAUGACGGAGGGGAUUCGCCAUUCAGAUGGAGUUGUGAAUUACUUCAGAAGAGCAGCACCAGACGAUUAUUAUUCAGAGGAUGAUAAUGUGUAGAAUGGCCAUAAAUGAGGUGGUGAAGAUCAUGUUCAGGACUGUUUGCUGAGACUGUGGAUUAAAGAUUUGAUUUACUUGCAUUUUAUGACUCAUCACAUUUCAAGGACAACAGUUUCAGCUAAGAAACCUUAUUUGAUGCUCUAUUGAAGAAAAAAGUCAACUACAUCUUAGAUGGCCUGAGGGAGCAAAGAGGGUUAGUAUUUUAUAUGAAGCAGACCAGACUGAAACCAACAACACGUAAGCACCUGCACCAAGCCUACUCUGUUCUCACCAGAAAUAACUUCAUCCAGCAUCUCUCUCAUAUUCCCAGUGUCGCUCAUUCUCAUUAGUAGACGUGUGAUUCUCCUCUCAUUACCCCUGUGUCUGCUCUCUGUCUCUGGUACACGGUGUGUUCCUGUAUUUGUGGCUCUUCCUGUCUCCUGCUGUCAUUGCUCUGCAGUCGCCAAUGCUUCCGGCUAGUCUCUGUUGGCGGCAAUGGUCUUGUUAGGG
ensembl:processed_transcript